UACGUAGGUGGCGAGCGUUGUCCGGAAUUACUGGGUGUAAAGCGCGUGUAGGCGGGAGGCCAAGUCUGCGGUGAAAUCGCUCGGCUCAACUGGGCGGGGUCCGUGGAAACUGGUCACCUGGAGGACGGUAGAGGCGAGUGGAAUUCCCGGUGUAGUGGUGAAAUGCGUAGAGAUCGGGAGGAACACCAGUGGCGAAGGCGGCAUCCUGGACUGGUCCUGACACUCAUGAGCGAAAGCGUGGGGAGCGAUCCGG
rnacentral:rRNA from 1 species